rnacentral:tRNA from 4 species
GGGCGUUUAGCUCAGCUGGUCAGAGCGCUGCCCUUACAAGGCAGAUGUCGGGAGUUCGAAUCUCUCAACGCCCA